rnacentral:rRNA from 1 species
UACGGAGGGGACGAGCGUUGUCCGAAGUUACUGGGCGUAAAGCGCGCGUAGGCGGGUUGGCAAGUCUGCUGUGAAAGCCCGGGGCUUAACCCCGGAGGGUCGGUGGAUACUGCCAGUCUUGAAGGUGCUAGGGGGAGGAUGGAAUUACCGGUGUAGCGGUGAAAUGCGUAGAUAUCGGUAGGAACACCAGUGGCGAAGGCGGUCUCCUGGGGCACUCUUGACGCUGAGGCGCGAAAGCUGGGGGAGCGAACGGG